rnacentral:rRNA from 1 species
GAGUUUGAUCCUGGCUCAGAAUCAACGCUGGCGGCGUGCCUAACACAUGCAAGUCGAACGAGAAAGUGGAGCAAUCCAUGAGUAAAGUGGCGACCGGGUGAGUAACACGUGACUAACCUACCUUCGAGUGGGGGAUAACCUCGGGAAACCGAGGCUAAUACCGCAUAACAUCGCAAGAUCAAAAGCAGCAAUGCGCUGGAAGAGGGGGUCGCGGCUGAUUAGCUAGUUGGCGGGGUAACGGCCCACCAAGGCGAAGAUCGGUAUCCGGCCUGAGAGGGCGCACGGACACACUGGAACUGAAACACGGUCCAGACUCCUACGGGAGGCAGCAGUGGGGAAUUUUGCGCAAUGGGGGAAACCCUGACGCAGCAACGCCGCGUGGAGGAUGAAGCCCCUUGGGGCGUAAACUCCUUUCGACCAAGACGAUAAUGACGGUACUAGUGGAAGAAGCACCGGCCAACUCUGUGCCAGCAGCCGCGGUAAUACAGAGGGUGCGAGCGUUGUUCGGAAUUAUUGGGCGUAAAGGGCGCGUAGGCGGUGCCACAAGUCACUUGUGAAAUCCCCGGGCUUAACUCGGGGCCUGCAGGCGAAACUGUGGUGCUGGAGUAUGGGAGAGGUGCGUGGAAUCCCCGGUGUAGCGGUGAAAUGCGUAGAUAUCGGGAGGAACACCUGUGGCGAAAGCGGCGCACUGGACCAUAACUGACGCUGAGGCGCGAAAGCUAGGGGAGCAAACAGGAUUAGAUACCCUGGUAGUCCUAGCCCUAAACGAUGAUUGCUUGGUGUAGCAGGUACCCAAUCCUGCUGCGCCGCGAGCUAACGCG